UCACCACUUAUUUAUUAAACGACACCACAUCUGACAAUUCAUCUGGUAAAGACUUAUGUGAACUGCAUAUAUGCAGAGGUAGGGACUUUCAGAUGUGACACUCUGGACCCUGGCAAACUGUAACUCACAGCAAUUCCAUGGCCAAUGAUGAGGACUGGUAGAACCUGGGACUCCAGCAGUUGGGUAUACAGUUAGGAGUUCCAUGCUGAUGAUAUCCAAUUAUAUCUUUCAAUCUAAGUCUGGCAAAGUGAGGCUGUUGAUUUAUAUCCCAGCACGUGGAGGUUGGGUAACCUCUGAUUCAAUCCACUAACCUAGAAGUGAAGCAUUGGGACCCUGGAAGAUGACAGACUGUGAGUGAAAUCCUUGUGUGAUGGAAGAGGAGACAUUUGCAUACCUCUUGGGAAAAUGUAUGCCUCAAGGGAAUUUCACUAAAAUUCUUUCUUUACUCCGAAAUAAAUUUCAACAUUAAAUUCGCCUUCAUUAAACCAGCAAAAGUUUGCAAGUUCUCCCGGGAGUAUCACCCAAUUCUUUGCCAGAACAAGAUGAUGCGCAGGAUCCCCAAAGAGGA